GAGUUUGAUCCUGGCUCAGGACGAACGCUGGCGGCGUGCUUAACACAUGCAAGUCGAACGGUGAAGCCCUUCGGGGUGGAUCAGUGGCGAACGGGUGAGUAACACGUGGGUAACCUGCCCUGCACUCUGGGAUAACUCCGGGAAACCGGGGCUAAUACCGGAUACGAGCCUGGUCCGCAUGGACCGGGUUGGAAAGUUCUUCGGUGCAGGAUGGACCCGCGGCCUAUCAGCUUGUUGGUGGGGUAAUGGCCCACCAAGGCGAUGACGGGUAGCCGGCCUGAGAGGGCGACCGGCCACACUGGGACUGAGACACGGCCCAGACUCCUACGGGAGGCAGCAGUGGGGAAUAUUGCACAAUGGGCGAAAGCCUGAUGCAGCGACGCCGCGUGAGGGAUGACGGCCUUCGGGUUGUAAACCUCUUUCAGCAGGGACGAAGCGAAAGUGACUGUACCUGCAGAAGAAGCACCGGCUAACUACGUGCCAGCAGCCGCGGUAAUACGUAGGGUGCGAGCGUUGUCCGGAUUUAUUGGGCGUAAAGAGCUUGUAGGCGGCUCGUCACGUCGGGUGUGAAAACUCGCGGCUCAACCGCGAGCCUGCACCCGAUACGGGCGAGCUAGAGUUCGGCAGGGGAGACUGGAAUUCCUGGUGUAGCGGUGGAAUGCGCAGAUAUCAGGAGGAACACCGGUGGCGAAGGCGGGUCUCUGGGCCGAUACUGACGCUGAGAAGCGAAAGCGUGGGGAGCGAA
rnacentral:rRNA from 1 species